rnacentral:rRNA from 1 species
UACGUAGGGUGCGAGCGUUAAUCGGAAUUACUGGGCGUAAAGCGUGCGCAGGCGGUCUUGUAAGACAGUUGUGAAAGCCCCGGGCUUAACCUGGGAACUGCAAUUGUGACUGCAAGGCUAGAGUGUGUCAGAGGGGGGUGGAAUUCCACGUGUAGCAGUGAAAUGCGUAGAGAUGUGGAGGAACACCGAUGGCGAAGGCAGCCCCCUGGGAUAACACUGACGCUCAUGCACGAAAGCGUGGGGAGCAAACAGG